UAAAUCAUCUGUUUAAUCUUGGCAGAGUUUGAACGUUAUCUGGUAGUUUUACUCAUGCAAGUUACUAAUUAUUAUGUAAUAGUUAAUAGCGUACAGGCGAGUAUAAAUAAGUAUAUACCAAUAAUUUAUAUUAUUGAUUAGCUUAUGUUUUAGCAGGUAGUUGGUAUAUGGUAAAAGCAUACCAAGCCUAUGACGAAUAAGAAUUAGCGAAAGCUUAGUUUCUCGCAAUUGGUUUGAGAAUAACCGAUCACAUCUAAAUUACUAGAUAUGCUGCAGAGGAGGAUCUUGGGCAAUGCUCGAAAGAGUGACCCAGCUAACCAGAACUCUUUUCUCUUGUGGUUAAAUGUUUACUUUUGAAUAACAAGAAUAGAGUAUAGUAAGGGAGGAUAAUGACGUUACCUUACCAUAAGUCCAAUCUAAGUUUCGUGCCAGCCGACGCGGUUAAACGAACUGGGCUAACGUUAAAUAGAAUUAAUAGGUAUUAAGGAUUCGUAGGUUGUAUUUAUCCACAUUGUGGAUGUACUAGAAUUGAAUAGAGGAUAAUGGAAUGCUAAGAGAAGGGAUGAUAUCCACUGAUAUUUAGUAGAACGCUAAAGGCGAAGGCAAUUAUCCAGUUACCAAUUGACACUGAGGAAUGAAAGUCUGGGGAGCAAAACGAAUUAGAUACUCGUGUAGUCCAGACCGUAAACUAUUUACACUUUAUAUUUAGAUAAUGUUAUAAUGUUAAAUAAUAAGCAAACUGCUGUAUGUGUAACACCUUGUGAGUACUGUUUCAGGACAGAAAGCAAAAAGAUUAGACCAUCUUAAAGACCCGGAGUGGAGCAUGUUGUUUAAUACGAUAAUCCGCGUAAAACCUUACCUCUCCUUGUAUAGCUUAAUUUUAAGACAAGUAUUUGUAAUUAAAUUAAGUUACAGGUGUUGCAUGGCUGUCGGCAGUUCGUGUCGUGAGAUGUUAGGUUGAGUCCGCUAACGAACGCAAUCCCUAUCUCUAAUUAAUUAUUUAGAGAUAUAUUUUUACAAUAAAUAUUUUGGGAAUACGAUAAGUCUUCAUGACCCUUAUGGAGCAAGGGCUACAGACGUGCUACUUGAAUCUAUCAAUACGAAGCAAUUUUCUAAAAAAUUAAAGAUAAUAAAGCAAAUCGUUAACAAAGAUGAUAUUAGGAUCGUAAUCUGAAAUUCGAUUACGUGAAUCAGGAAUUCCGAGUAAUCAUUGAUAAGUAUGCAAUGGUGAACUAUUAUAUUUAAGAGAUACUAAUCGUCUAUCACAUGGGGGCCAUUCUGCAAUCAAGAACAUUUAUAAAUAUAAUUAGCCUUAUGGCAUUAUAAAUGGUAUGAUGAGGAGUUUCUCUCGUGAAGUUAUAGCAAAGUAGCCGUAAGGGAACUUGUGGCUGAUUGAUAAUAAAA
rnacentral:rRNA from 1 species